rnacentral:rRNA from 1 species
UACGGGGGGGGGCAAGCGUUGUUCGGAAUUACUGGGCGUAAAGGGCUCGUAGGCGGCCAAUUAAGUCAGACGUGAAAUCCCUCGGCUUAACCGGGGAACUGCAUCUGAUACUGGAUGGCUUGAGUUCGGGAGAGGGAUGCGGAAUUCCAGGUGUAGCGGUGAAACGCGUAGAUAUCUGGAGGAACACCGGUGGCGAAGGCGGCAUCCUGGACCAUGACUGACGCUGAGGAGCGAAAGCCAGGGGAGCCAAAGCGGG